CUUCGUUGUACAGUAAGGAGAAACAAUAAAUGAAAAUAAUAGCUGUCCAGCUGCUAUGCAAUAAUACACUUAUACAUAGGACUAAAUGUAAAUCUUGAAGCUAUUGUGAAUUCGCCUGUAGGAAGAGAGAACGAUCUAUAAUUAUUGUAAGAUUAUCAAAAACCACAAAUUUCUCCUUUUUCAGUUUUGACCAUUCCUUUCGGUCAACCAUCCUAUAUCUACAUUACUCGAUCUUCAUGUUAUGUAUUAACUUCUUUUUACAUUACGAAUAGCUCAACUUAUAGAAAACGCUAAACAGUUUAACAUACAUG
rnacentral:lncRNA from 1 species